rnacentral:rRNA from 1 species
UCUAGUAACGAUAGCGAAGAGGCCACACUCGUUCCCAUGUCGAACACGAUCGUUAAGCUCUUCAGCGCUGAUGGUAAGUUGGGGGUUUCCCCCUGUGAGAGUAGGACGUUGCUAGGU